UGCCAGACUCCUACGGGAGGCAGCAGUGGGGAAUAUUGCACAAUGGGGGGAACCCUGAUGCAGCGACGCCGCGUGAGUGAAGAAGUCUUUCGGUAUGUAAAGCUCUAUCAGCAGGGAAGAAGAUGACGGUACCUGACUAAGAAGCCCCGGCUAACUACGUGCCAGCAGCCGCGGUAAUACGUAGGGGGCAAGCGUUAUCCGGAGUUACUGGGUGUAAAGGGAGCGUAGACGGCAGGGCAAGUCUGAAGUGAAAUGCCGGGGCCCAACCCCGGAACUGCUUUGGAAACUGUACAGCUAGAGUGCAGGAGGGGGGAGCGGAAUUCCUAGUGUAGCGGUGAAAUGCGUAGAUAUUAGGAGGAACACCGGUGGCGAAGGCGGCUCACUGGACUGUAACUGACGUUGAGGCUCGAAAGCGUGGGGAGCAAACAGGAUUAGAUACCCUAGUAAUA
rnacentral:rRNA from 1 species